rnacentral:rRNA from 1 species
UACGGAGGAGGCAAGCGUUAUCCGGAAUUAUUGGGCGUAAAGCGUGCGCAGGCGGUGAGCUGUGUCCGAUGUGAAAGCCCCGGGCUUAACCUGGGAAUGGCAUUGGAAACUGGCUCGCUGGAGUGUGGUAGAGGGGGGUGGAAUUCCGCGUGUAGCAGUGAAAUGCGUAGAGAUGUGGAGGAACACCGAUGGCGAAGGCAGCCCCCUGGGCUAACACUGACGCUCAUGCACGAAAGCGUGGGGAGCAAACAGG